UAAACACUCACUCCUCAUUCCCUCCCCGAGCCCUGGGCAGCCAGCCACCUACUCCCUGUCUCUAUGAAUUUGACGACUCUAGGUCUGUCAUAAGGUGCGCUGAGUGGGCCCUCCUGUGACAGCUGUGGGCCCUGAGACACACCGGACAUCUUCCUGCACCCUGAACACCCUGUGAACCGUGCUGCAGCAGCACCAGACCCCGCUUCCUCUCAGAGUCAGCAGAGCCUACCACUUCAUUGAGAUCUUCACAAACGACCAGUGUGUGUGGAUCCCAAAAGAUCCCAAGUCAUUAGCAGAAGAGACCAGCAGGAGCCGCCACUGAUAGCCUUGUCUUGCAUGUGCAUGUGUGCUCGUGAGGUUGGCUGAUGGGUGAGUAGCUGAAGUGGGUUAACACACAUUAUGCUCUUUUUAUUGGAGGGUCACAAUAUUCUCAGAGGGUGACUUUAUGCCCACAGUUCUGAAAUCAAGUAGAUUACAAGUUCCUUUGAAAAACAAUUAAGGGAAAUACCAAGGGUCAGUGAAUGGAGGUCAGUUUUCCCUAAACUAUUCUCUCA
rnacentral:lncRNA from 13 species